rnacentral:tRNA from 1 species
GGCAAGGUGGCCGAGUUGGUUAAGGCGUCAGGUUAAGGUCUCCCUUAGCGCAAUAUCCUGAUUCAGAAAUGAGCACGAGUUCGAAUCUCGUCCUUGUCA